rnacentral:lncRNA from 10 species
AAUUACUUAGUAACAUUAGUCUAAGUUUUCUGUGAAAUGAAGAUAAGAAUAGCAUUGACUUCAUUUUUAGUAAAAUGAGGAUGGGGAUAGUAUUGACUUCCUAGGAGUAUUGUGAAGAGUAAACAAGAUGAUGCAUGUCAAAUGCCCAGCACACUUGGCUUAUAGUAAUUGAUCAAUAUAAUAUGGCUUUUUUUUUUUUUGGAAAAAAAAAGGAAAAUGUGAUGUUUUAAAGAUGACUAAUUAUGGGCAACUAUUUGCUUGAUAAAAUUAUACACUAUGGUGUUCCUUUAAAAUGAGGUAUAUUAACCCACAUUGAUUAAAACAAUCUUUUACUCCUGGACAGAAAAGUCUGCCAUGGAGGCAGAGAGGAGAGCCAGUGGGGCCCAUUGUUUACAGGUGUUUACCUUGUCAGGUCAUUAUAUUCUUCCAGUUCCAUUUCCUUCUCAUGUCUCGCUUUUCACUUCCCUUCAAUUCUCAUGUCUUUCCACUCAGUGAACAUAUAAACAGUUGGACAAUCUUUAGCAAAAUAACACUUAAAACAUGUGAAAACUAUUUUAUUACCUCUUCUUUGUUGAUCAAGUUGAAUACAUCAGCUCCUUUAAACUUUUUGCUUGGCCAGUUUUCCAAACCUUUAAUCAUCACUAUUUUAGAACCUACGAGAGUUUUAUCAUAUGCCAUUUAAGUGUGGAGCCCAAGGAAGACAUUCAUUCAGUGAUGGUCUGACUAAUGCUGACUCAUCUGGAAGGCAAAGAUGUGGCAUGGCAUCACUUAAGCAUACGGGUAUUUGAGAACCAUGAAUCCAAACCCCAUCCCACCUCAUUCCACCUGCACGCUAGAGCAGCAUUGCCAUGAUGAGAACAUUGCUGGGGGAAAAUGUAAGUGAUGGGGGAAAUCCAUUAAGCAAGGCCACUCAUGGAACGUUUACUGGGGAUUCUUCUGAAAAACAUGUUUACAUCAAAUCUGAAGGUGAAGAGAGAGGAACAAGAAAAGGGGAGAGCAACGUGAAGAUGGAAUAAGCCAGAGCGUAUGUAGACAUGUUCGUGGUGAAAGCAAGAGAAGGGUUGGCUUAACAACCAUCCUGCCCAGUUCAGUUUUAUCUGCUAAUGAGAAGAAAAAUGAGCAUCAGUGAAGGAGAGGAAAUUUAUUCACACAUGGGAUCUCUCUGUGUUCUUCUUUGAGGGGCACAAGAGCUCUGGGGCUUUGAUUGAUCCGUCUGCUAGAACUGCCUAAAAAAACAAAAAAAAAAAUGGAAAGAACUGAAAAGAAGAAAAAACACAACAGGAACCGCUGAGUCUGUGAAUUACUUGAUGCCCUGGGCAGAGAUGGGCACCUUGCUGCUUCUGGUCACUGCAGGGCUGUUGGAAUUCAACAGUCAUCAGCUGUUUCCUGUUCACUGGACUGGAUACAA